AUCCCAUGAUGCAGGCACUUCCUUAGCAGGUCUUUAAAUCUCUCCCCUGCCUCAUAUAAAGAUUCAUUAUCCAACUAGUAGAAAUUGUUGAUCUCCCCCCUCAGUUU